CCCCCCUCCCGAGCGAACGGCACCCUCUACGAGCUUUUCCCGCAUCCCGCGUCGCCGCCAAGCUCGGACCAAGCGAAGGGGGCGUCGGCGGUUACCGAAGGCUUCCACCACCGGCUUCUCCGAGAGGGCGGGUCCGUUCAACAUCGUGUGGCCCUUCAACAUAGGCGGCAGCCGUGACUCCGAUGCCAGCCUCUGCAGCAGCCGAUCGUCCUUCGUCGGCGGCUACCCCUCCUUCGCCACCUCCGCUCUCCUCACCAACCGUUCCUCGCAAUCCACCACCGCCCUCCGAUCCGUGAACGCCUACCUCUCCUCCCUCUUCGCAUCAACCUCCCUCUGUCCCCUACUCCCCUCCAGCUGCGAGAUCACCAACGCCUUCCACUUCGUCCUCGCUACGGGCCAUAGGAAAUAAUUUCUCCAUUCCCUAGCCCUAGGUCAAAGUAAGUUGGUCCUAUAGCCAGUGGCCGAACAGCCUUUUUUUUUUCCUUCCUUUCUUCUUCUUCCCUUUUGUUUUUUUUAACGGCUUUCUACUUCUUCCUCUCUUUUUUUUUAACGGUCAGCGCCAUUCCCCCAGGACCCCAGAAAGCUUCUAAAACAUCAAACACGGAGGGAGGGAGGAGAGAG
rnacentral:lncRNA from 1 species